ensembl:ncRNA W03G11.20 ncRNA
AAUGUUAGGGUGUGUGAAACGCAACGAAAUGAGAUGAAGAACUAAGUUUUACGAGCGGAGAUUACAUUUCUAAUUGGA